GACGAACGCUGGCGGCGUGCUUAACACAUGCAAGUCGAGCGGUAAGGCCCUUUCGGGGGUACACGAGCGGCGAACGGGUGAGUAACACGUGAGCAAUCUGCCCUUCACUUUGGGAUAACCUCCGGAAACGGUGGCUAAUACCGGAUAUGAUCACCGGCCGCAUGGUCUGGUGGUGGAAAGUUCUGGCGGUGGAGGAUGAGCUCGCGGCCUAUCAGCUUGUUGGUGGGGUAAUGGCCUACCAAGGCGACGACGGGUAGCCGGCCUGAGAGGGUGACCGGCCACACUGGGACUGAGACACGGCCCAGACUCCUACGGGAGGCAGCAGUGGGGAAUAUUGGACAAUGGGCGAAAGCCUGAUCCAGCAACGCCGCGUGAGGGAUGACGGCCUUCGGGUUGUAAACCUCUUUCAGUACCGACGAAGCGCAAGUGACGGUAGGUACAGAAGAAGCACCGGCCAACUACGUGCCAGCCGCCGCGGUAA
rnacentral:rRNA from 1 species